AGGACGAACGCUGGCGGCGUGCUUAACACAUGCAAGUCGAGCGGAAAGGCCCUUCGGGGUACUCGAGCGGCGAACGGGUGAGUAACACGUGAGCAACCUGCCCCUGGCUCUGGGAUAGCCUCCGGAAACGGGGAUUAAUACCGGACAUGACCUGCUGCCGCAUGGUGGCGGGUGGAAAGUUUUUCGGCCAGGGUGGGGCUCGCGGCCUAUCAGCUUGUUGGGGGGGUGACGGCCCACCAAGGCGACGACGGGUAGCCGGCCUGAGAGGGCGACCGGCCACACUGGGACUGAGACACGGCCCAGACUCCUACGGGAGGCAGCAGUGGGAAUAUUGCGCAAUGGGCGGAAGCCUGACGCAGCGACGCCGCGUGCGGGAUGAAGGCCUUCGGGUUGUAAACCGCUUUCACCAGGGGCGAAGCGAGAGUGACGGUACCUGGGGAAGAAGCGCCGGCUAACGUACGUGCCAGCAGCCGC
rnacentral:rRNA from 1 species